AUGGAUCCCGCAGAACCAGGCCGCGGCCCCGCACCAUCUCGUGGACAGCGCCCGCGCCACCGCUUCUCCCCCUCGCCCGGAGCUCCAAGUUCACCGGCCACCGCUGCCGCUACCGACCUCUGCAGCACCAAGUCCUUCCAGCCGCGAGGCAGUGCCCCCUCGCGCGCCCAUGGUCCUCCAUUCUUCGUCGUGAGCGGCAACAGGAGCGUCGCCGAGCCCUCGUGCCCGCGACCCUGCGACUGUGUUGACCAUCAGCUCCGGCCUGCUGUCAGCCAUGCCAAGACCCGAGGUUUUUUUUUGCUGCUUCGCUUUGGAGGCACCAAGAUCCUCUCUGACAAGUGCACGACUAUGCGGAUUGUGCCAAGUACCACGAUGUCGAGACCCCUCAAGUUCGACUACAUGAAAAUGCCAAGUACCCCUACGCGCGAAGAUGCCAAGACCGUUUCGGGAUUCAUCAAGUACCGCUACCGAUGGCUCGAACGCCUUCGAAACGUAUACCACUACUGCCGCCCGAACAUCUACGGAACAUGUACCACAACCAUCGCCGAAGAACCGUGCACGUCUAACGAUGACCCUCAAGUUCGUCCACUAUUGCUAUGUACCACUACCAUCGACGCGAACCACUACUUCCACUACGGCAUGAGUACAACUACUACCACUACGAACGUGGCGAGAACGUCUACUUCCUCUACUUUGCAUCGAACCGAUACGCUUCGAAGGUAUAACCCCAAGACGACCGUCCGAGAACGUUUGCAUGUGUUGUAUGAGUUGCACCCUAUGUUUGCACCGUGCCCGAGUUGUCACUUGCUCGGUCCUCCUCUUCUGCCACCAAUUCGUGGGGAACCCGGUUACCGGGAUCACCCCACCAUCUUGCACGACACGCUCCCGUCACACUUCAUUUUGCACCGGCAUCUCAAUUGA
rnacentral:rRNA from 1 species